AAAGCAGGACGCAAUUACAGUGCUUCAUUUGGUGGAAGGACUGUCAUUACCCUGCUGAGAGCAACAUCCUGCUUCAGAGUAACAGCUUCUCACCUCUGUGGGAUUGUAUACACUCUGUAGUAGGCACAACU